GGGCCCUUAGCUCAUCUGGUAGAGCGACUGAUUUGCAUUCAGUAGGUGAGGAGUUCGACUCUCCUAGGGUCCA
rnacentral:tRNA from 1 species